CCUACGGGUGGCUGCAGUGGGGAAUAUUGGACAAUGGGGGCAACCCUGAUCCAGCCAUGCCGCGUGUGUGAAGAAGGCCCUCGGGUUGUAAAGCACUUUCAGUGAGGAAGAACGCCUGGUGGUUAAUACCCAUCAGGAAAGGCAUCACUCACAGAAGAAGCACCGGCUAACUCCGUGCCAGCAGCCGCGGUAAUACGGAGGGUGCGAGCGUUAAUCGGAAUUACUGGGCGUAAAGCGCGCGUAGGUGGCUUGAUAAGCCGGUUGUGAAAGCCCCGGGCUCAACCUGGGAACGGCAUCCGGAACUGUCAAGCUAGAGUGCAGGAGAGGAAGGUAGAAUUCCCGGUGUAGCGGUGAAAUGCGUAGAGAUCGGGAGGAAUACCAGUGGCGAAGGCGGCCUUCUGGACUGACACUGACACUGAGGUGCGAAAGCGUGGGUAGCAAACAGGAUUAGAUACCCUAGUAGUC
rnacentral:rRNA from 1 species